GAUGAACGCUGACAGAAUGCUUAACACAUGCAAGUCAACUUGAAUUUGGGUUUUUAACUUAGGUUUGGGUGGCGGACGGGUGAGUAACACGUAAAGAACUUGCCUCACAGCUAGGGACAACAUUUGGAAACGAAUGCUAAUACCUAAUAUUAUGAUAAUAGGGCAUCCUAUAAUUAUGAAAGCUAUAAGCGCUGUGAGAGAGCUUUGCGUCCCAUUAGCUAGUUGGAGAGGUAACGGCUCACCAAGGCGAUGAUGGGUAGCCGGCCUGAGAGGGUGAUCGGCCACAAGGGGACUGAGACACGGCCCUUACUCCUACGGGAGGCAGCAGUGGGGAAUAUUGGACAAUGGACCGAGAGUCUGAUCCAGCAAUUCUGUGUGCACGAUGAAGUUUUUCGGAAUGUAAAGUGCUUUCAGUUGGGAAGAAACAAAUGACGGUACCAACAGAAGAAGUGACGGCUAAAUACGUG
rnacentral:rRNA from 1 species